AUGAAGUCUUGCUCUUUCACUAGUCUGGAAUACAGUGGCAGCUCACUGCAACCUCUAUCUCUGGGGUGCAAGCGAUUCCCCUACCUCAGUCUCCUGAGUAGCUGGUAUUACAGACAGGCAUUACCACACCCGGCUAAUUUUUUUUUUUUUUUUUUUUUUUUUAAGACAGAGUUUCACUGUUUUAGCCAGGAUAGUCUAGAUCUUCUGACCUCAUGAUCCUCCCACCUUGGCCUCCCAAAGUGCUGGGAUUACAGGCGUGAUUCACCACGCCCAGCUUUAUUUAUUUUUGAGAGAGUCUCACUCUGUUGUCCAAGCUGGAGUGCAGUGGUGAGAUCUCAGCUCAUUGCACUUCUGUCUGCUGAGUUCAAGCGAUUUUCCUGCCUCAGCCUCCCAAGUAGCUGGGACUACAGGUGCCCACCACCAUGCCUGGUUAAUUGUUUUUGUAUUUUUAGUGGAGACGGGGUUUUACCAUGUUGGCUAGGCUGGUCUCGAAUUCCUGACUUCAAAUGAUCUGCCCACCUUGGCCUCCCAAAGUGCUGGGAUUACAGGCAAGAGCCACUGUGCCCGGCCCAAGUCAGUAGUGUUUUAUUUUCUGUUUUUAAGAUAGGCUGUUGCUCUGUUGCCCAGGCUGGUUCAUGGCUCACUGCAGUCUCUAACUCCUGGGUUCAAGCAAUCCUCCCACCUCAGCCUUCCGAAUAGCUAGGAUUACAGGCAUGCACCAGCACACCUGGCUAAUUUUGUAUUUUUAGUAGAGAUGGGAUUUCUCCAUGUUGGUCAGGUGGUCUCAAACUCCCGACCCCAUGUGAUCCACCUGCCUUGGCCUCCCAAAGUGCUGGGAUUACAGGCGUAAGCUGCCGUGCCUGGCUUUUUUUUUUUUUUUUUUUUUUUUGAGACAGGGUCUUGCUCUGUUACCCAGGCUGGGGUGCAGUAGUACAGUCUUAGCUGACUGCAACCUCUGUCUCUCCGGUUCAAGGAAUUAUCUACCAUGACCAGCUAAUUUACAUAUUUUUCCUUCACCAUCUUGGUCAGUUUGGCUAGUCUCAAACUCCUCACCUUAAGUGAUCCACCCACUUUGGCCUCCCAAAGUAUACUUGGCUUUUUGUAUAGGGCAGGGGGUGUGAAAGAAUGUGAGGGGCGGGCCAUGGUGUGAGGGACCCUGUGCUCUGAGCACUCUCUUGCACAUAUCUGGGUCUGGCUGAAUCACCACCUGAGUCAG
rnacentral:lncRNA from 13 species